rnacentral:rRNA from 1 species
AGAGCGAACGCUGGCGGCAUGCUUAACACAUGCAAGUCGCACGGGCACUUUCGGGUGUCAGUGGCGGACGGGUGAGUAACGCGUAGGUAUCUGUCCAUGGGUGGGGGAUAACGCCGGGAAACUGGUGCUAAUACCGCAUGAUGACUGAGGUCCAAAGGCGCAAGUCGCCUGUGGAGGAGCCUGCGUUCGAUUAGCUUGUUGGUGGGGUAACGCCUACCAAGGCGACGAUCGAUAGCUGGUCUGAGAGGAUGAUCAGCCACAUUGGGACUGAGACACGGCCCAAACUCCUACGGGAGGCAGCAGUGGGGAAUAUUGGACAAUGGGCGCAAGCCUGAUCCAGCAAUGCCGCGUGGAUGAAGAAGGUCUUCGGAUUGUAAAGUCCUUUCGACGGGGACGAUGAUGACGGUACCCGUAGAAGAAGCCCCGGCUAACUUCGUGCCAGCAGCCGC